UCAGUGGAGAAGGUUUUGAAGGCCAUGGCCGGGCUGCCCCGAAGCGACUUUGCUGAGAUGAUUCGCCAGGGUAAUGGCACCUUCAACUCCAUCCCGGAGCUGGCCGUGGAGAGGAUGGCACAGGUCAUCCAGGAUCUGCGGGAGGAGCUGUCCCACACAGCACAGAAGGUGCAGUCCAUCGCUGACAGCUUCCCCCUCCCCGACUACACCCGGCCCGCCAGCGAAGCCCUGGUGACGGCGGAGGAG